rnacentral:rRNA from 1 species
GACGAACGCUGGCGGCGUGCCUAAUACAUGCAAGUCGAGCGGAACUGGGGGAGCUUGCUCCUUCCAGUUUAGCGGCGGACGGGUGAGUAACACGUGGGCAACCGGCCCUGCAGAUCGGGAUAACUCCGGGAAACCGGUGCUAAUACCGAAUAGUUUGGCGCCUCUCCUGAGGCGCCACGGAAAGACGGUUUCGGCUGUCACUGCAGGAUGGGCCCGCGGCGCAUUAGCUAGUUGGUGGGGUAACGGCCCACCAAGGCGACGAUGCGUAGCCGACCUGAGAGGGUGACCGGCCACACUGGGACUGAGACACGGCCCAGACUCCUACGGGAGGCAGCAGUAGGGAAUCUUCCGCAAUGGACGCAAGUCUGACGGAGCAACGCCGCGUGAGUGACGAAGGUUUUCGGAUCGUAAAACUCUGUUAUGAGGGAAGAACACGUACCAACUAACUACUGGUACCUUGACGGUACCUCACCAGAAAGCCACGGCUAACUACGUGCCAGCAGCCGCAGUAA